GACGUAGGGCGCAAGCGUUGUCCGGAUUUAUUGGGCGUAAAGAGCUCGUAGGCGGCUUGUUGCGUCGUCCGUGAAAACCCGUGGCUCAACUGCGGGCUUGCGGACGAUACGGGCAGGCUGGAGUUCGGUAGGGGAGACGUGGAAUUCCUGGUGUAGCGGUGAAAUGCGCAGAUAUCAGGAGGAACACCGGUGGCGAAGGCGGGUCUCUGGGCCAUAACUGACGCUGAGGAGCGAAAGCGUGGGGAGCGAACAGG
rnacentral:rRNA from 1 species